AUCAAAAGUCAAAGGAGAAAAUAAUGACGGAAGAGCUGAAUAGAGAACCAGUGAUUGAUCGAGAUGAGUUGAAAGAGCUGGAUCUGGAUGUCCAAAAGCUGGAAGGAGAGUCUGGAAUCAUUACUCGAAAAUCAAAGGUGCAUAUUGGAGGACUAGAGGAGAGAAUGGAGGAGGAAACACGGGCAGAAGGGAAAGAGGAUUAGGCGGGAUUAUUCAAAGGAAAUCGAUCCUGUAACUCGAAAUGCGAACUUUCCUUCAUUCUGUCAACGUUGUCAGAUGGGAAAUGAAUUGUAAAAUUUAGAGUUGUAGAUUUGGAACCAGAGGCUGUAAAGUGGAAGAAUGCAUUGAUUAGUAGUGUCUACGGGUUGAGUCCCAAAUUUAGAGGAAUGAAGAGUUAGGCGAUAAGUAAAUGGAAAAGGAACUUCCUAUGGAGAGGAACUGGAGAUAAUAGUAAGAAGGGUCCUGUGGCUUAGGAAAAGAUUUGUAGAGCAAAAAAAGAGGAAGGAUAGGGAUGAAAGAGAUAAUGCCAUGGAAUGCUGCUACUAUUGGAAAGCAGAUUGAGAAUUGUUAACUGAUAAAACAUCCUUCUGGGCAUUUGGGUAAAUCAAAAUAAAUUAAAGUGCAUGAGCUUCUAGGGGAUCACCAAGUCGCUUGAUGCAAGUUGAGCAUGGGGCAUGUUAUUGGCUUGAGAGAUCUAUUUAAGAGGCACUAUGUCUAUACUGUGAGUAGGGGGAGACUUUUCAUUUUAGAUUGAUCCUUGGAUGGAAGGAUUUAGUUUAGUGGAGAAGUACCUAGGUAUAAGAAUUAAAGACUCUGAUGUAUCAAAGAAAGCAAAAAUUAAAUACUUGUGGAAAUAGGCAAUGGAGUCUACCAUGUCCAAUAAAUGCCCAAAUUGAGAUUGCUUGGGCAGAAGUAAGGAAUUAUACAGUUAGAAAGGGACAUGAAGAUGUAAUAAAGUGGAAUAAUUCUGGGGUCUAUACUAAUAAAAGUGCCUAGGAGGCAAUAAUAGGGGCUAUUGGCAAAGUAAGUUGAUGAAACUGGUCUGGAGAUGAAGCUGUGUCUCUAGAUACAGCUUCAUAGUUCGGAUGGCAAUCCAUAACAAGUUAGCAGUAAAAACAAGGUUGAAUAAGUGGAGUAUGGUGGGGGAUGCAUGUAUUGUUUAUGUGGAAAUCAUGAAGAGAAUGUGAAAUAUUUAUUCUUUGAUUGUAUUGUAUCUAGUAGGGUUUAGAGGGAGGUUUUAAUCAAAUCCAUAAUCAGAAGGCAUUUCUCACUUGGAGGAGGUAAGCUAGUUCUCCAGAAAACAGGUGGAAAAACUUUGCUUGCUGCAGUAAGGAAAGUUGUAUUUGCAGGAAAGGAAUCAGGUUGCUUUUCACUAGAUUACUGCUUGUGCUGAUAGAGUUUUGAAAAAAGUAGAGACGGUUGUUAAGCUGAAAUUUAUGACUGAAAGGGUAAUGAAUGGUCCAGGAAUUGAUUGGAGUGUAUGGAAUUAAGUUGGCUUGGGUAGUGGAUACCUACAGUUCUAGUUAUCUGAUGCAAUGUUAUAUUUUGUUGCAGAUUGUGGUAUCUGCAGAUAUGUUCUUGGCUUUGUGAUUAGGUGGGAAGGAGUGAAAUGAAUUUAGACUUGAGGUUGUUGGGAUUUGAGUCCAAACCGUGGGUCAUGCAAGUGUUUUGGUUGAGGCUAGAAUGGAGGAGAUGGUUGAAAGACUUUGUUUUUUAGCUAUUGGGAUGACCUGUAUAGUUUUCUUUGUUUUACUGUUUUCUUGAGUUGUAUAAUGGCUCUACUUUUUGGCAAUAAAAAAUAAUUUUUUGUUGACAAAAAAAA